GACGAACGCUGGCGGCGUGCUUAACACAUGCAAGUCGAACGGAAAGGCCCAGCUUGCUGGGUGCUCGAGUGGCGAACGGGUGAGUAACACGUGGGUGAUCUGCCUCUAACUUCGGGAUAAGCUUGGGAAACUGGGUCUAAUACCGGAUAGUACAAUCGUUUAGUGUCGGUUGUGGAAAGUUUUUUCGGUUAGGGAUGAGCCCGCGGCCUAUCAGCUUGUUGGUGGGGUAAUGGCCUACCAAGGCGUCGACGGGUAGCCGGCCUGAGAGGGUGGACGGCCACAUUGGGACUGAGAUACGGCCCAGACUCCUACGGGAGGCAGCAGUGGGGAAUAUUGCACAAUGGGCGCAAGCCUGAUGCAGCGACGCCGCGUGGGGGAUGACGGCCUUCGGGUUGUAAACCUCUUUCGACAGGGACGAAGCUUUGGUGACGGUACCUGUAGAAGAAGCACCGGCUAACUACGUG
rnacentral:rRNA from 1 species